rnacentral:lncRNA from 10 species
GGAUUGCAGCAGGCUCGGUCUAAGAUAAAACCAGACGGUGGACAACAGGCCAGGUAAGACCCACAUGGUCUGCACUCCCUGGUUCUGUUAUUGUGUGGAGGAAUGUCUUAGUCUGUUGCUCCUGUGGGUGUAGCUAAAGCACAAACCAGGAGUCCUCAUCCUUAGAAAGCAGUUAGACAGACAUCUGAGAACCAAUCCCAAACUGCAGCCUUCCACAGAACCUUCUGGAACCUUCUGGAAUGCAACUUAUUACUGCCAGAGGGUCUUUGAUGAGAGUCUACUCUCCACCAUUUGUCUUCAGAGAGAAUACCCACCUAUUCUCUUUCCGUGGAAAGGUUUUUGCUUGUCUGAUGACUGAUGGCUCCACCCAGACCUGCCAACCACUCCCGCGGCCCCAUC